UUUUUUUUUUUUUUUUCUGUUAUGCUAUGAGAACAGUUAAAGCUUCUGCUGCUGGCUGUUGGUCAGGAUGGUUCAUUAGAGAAUAACUUCCGAUAUGAGUACAUGGGUAGUAUCUUGGAUGGACGACGUAUGGAUAGGGUACUGAAGUGCUGUAAAGGAUAGCUAAGAGUGAUACGGGUCUUCGAGUACUUGAACGACUAGCUAGGAUGUCCUGCA
rnacentral:misc_RNA from 1 species